CCCACGCGAGGGAAAGAUCAGCGUUGCUGCAGCCACCGCAGGACACCCACCAUGCGCGUACCAUACAGGCAGCAGCAGCCUCACUUCACCUUGGAUGACAUGACGAUUAUGAAAUAUUCAGUCAUCCCCCUUGGGUCUACCUGUUAGAAACUUGGACCUACUCAUGUGUUUGAGGUAAUGCUUGAAUAAAAUAGCUAUGCAAAUUUUUAUUUCUUUUCAGAUGGAUGAGGAGUGCUUAAAGAAAAGAUCUACUCUAUGGUUGUUUCUCUGCAGAUGAUUGUGCAGAAAAGAUGAAAAACGGGAUAAAAUUCUAUGUGAGAGAUGACCGCUAAAGGUACUUAAUUUUGGUAGAUAAUGUUGUGUGCAGAUUUCUUUCUACAAGAUGUGGGUGUAAAUUCUUAUUGUUGCAAUGAUGCAGUAGCAGUGGCGCAAGGUCGACAAUUUUUUACUUCCAUAUAUUCAGUCCUUGCAUGCAUUUUCUGAGUAUGUUCACGAUUAGUAUGCAGGUUAUUUGUUUCCCCAAUAUGGACCGCGACAUAGGGAAAUAUUAGCAUUGCUUCAACCAUGGCAAGACACCCACCAUGCGUGCACCUUACAAGUUGCAGCAGCUUCACUUGGUUGUCAAUGACAUAUCGAGUAUAAAAUAGAUAGCUAGCUGCAAGCAUUGCUGCUCCCCGCCCGACAGAGCAAACUUUUGCAACAUGCCCUUUUCUCAUCUGCCCCAUUCCAGCCAUCCCUCCAUCUACCUGUUGGACUUGCUCACCUUGUGUUUGGGGUAAUGCCUAAUGAAAAUAGAUAGCGAUGAUUAUUUCUUUUCACAUGAUUGUGGUGAUUUAAAAUCUAAGAAAAUAUCCUUUGGUGUUGAAUUUAGGAUACAGUGCAUGACAUAUUAUUAAAUCCCAUACAACAGAGUCUUAGGUAUUUUAUUUUCUGACCAAAUUAUGAUUUUUACUGCAAAAUCAAAUUAUGAAUGCUUAAUCUAAGGUAUUUCUUACUCUGUUUGAUCUAGGUUUCUAUCAAUUAUUACCUGCCUUUUGAAUUUUAUUUUGUGGGGAUUUCUCUUCUGAGUUAUGUUGAGGUGAAUGUAGCUACUGGUCAUACUUUAACCACAUGUCAAUUGCAGGAGUGCGAUGCCACCAUCAUGUGCCACAAACCAUACCAAGAACGGCGGGUUAUGGAUAGAGUUCAUUUGAUCCAUCUGAUAAAAAUACCUAUUGGGGAAUAAGCAUGAAAAGUAAUCAACCACUCUUUCCGCAGUGGAGUUCGGGUAUGCCUGCUCCUCUAUUUAUUUGACUAUUGUUAGAUUGGUUCAUCCUGGUAUGACAUGUUAAUGAAGGUGUUCUUUCAUUCCUCAUACGAUCUGGAUACCUUUCAAUUGAUUAGUUCUUCUUUUGGAUUACUCUAUAUUAAUUCCCUAUGUGUAUCUUUAUUAUGUUCCUCUAGACUGAGUAAGAAAAUUAUUUUGUUGAUAUUAGUUUCAAGGGAACAUGGUACCUACGACACAGGAAGAUUACUGAAAAUCAGUUCAAAAUCUAAUCAAGUCUAAUCUUCUCUGUUGUCUGUACUGCAGCCAUGAUGAUCAGAAGUUUAGGACCACACUGUAGUCAAGAAAAAGGAAUGAUCUUCGUAAGCUACACCCUUUCGAUCCCAAUCUUACCUUUUUUUAAAUUAGUUUUGUUAGUGCUUCCAUUACUUCCAUUAAAAUAUGCUUAAUGGGCUAGAGACUGUACCUUUUCAGAAAGUUAUAGUGUGUGGUAUGUUUGCUGAACUUUUGAUGACAGUUCUUCAGGCAGGAUUUUCGUCCCUAUAUUUUAACUUUGAACAUCAUUAUAUUUAGACAAAUGAUGUGUUUACUGAAUUAUCGUUGUUUAAUUUUUGAAGUUAUGCCUUUCGUAAUAUUCAACUGUAGAUAGACCAAAAGAUAUAGGUAUUAAAUUUUGUGGCUCUAGCAUAGAUGUUUAUCACCACAGUGACAUUUAUUUUUCAAUUUAGAUAAGAAAAAAGAGAUAAGUAUUGAACAGAGAGUAGAGAGGAUAAGAGCAUUGUAGUUCAGCGUGGUUCAUGCCAAAGACUAUGAUACAUAUAAUUUCUUAGGAUAGUGAAAAUUCAUUGAUGAUGCAGUGGAAGUAACACAAGUUCUGCUAGAAUUUCUCUCACAUAAUAUGGAUAGAGGUGGGUUUUGCAUAAUCCAUCUCAGUAACAAGCUUGCAUUGAGUUAUUCUUUUCAAGAAGCUUACCAUGCACAACUACAGGAUACUUGUAGUUCUCAGUGGCAAUUCAUAGCUACAUUCUUCAAUGGGAGACCUAGCAUGCCUUGAGUACAACAAUACAUGAUCGUCUGGCAACAAACUGUUCAUGAUUGAUGCAUAAUAUGUCCUCUGUCUGCAUUUUAAGUAUUUAUAUUAAUAUUUCUGGUUAUCACUGCGGGAGUUGAAAUGGAUUUGAUGAGGGAAGUCUGCAAUGCAGACUGUGUUAAGUGUACCCGCUCCAGAUUUCAUCGACAGUAAAUGGUCCACUGCUAUUGGCAGGUGCCUUCUUGCACUCUUCUGACCCAGAUACGUAAGUGCAUCGCUCAAAACUCACAGAGAGGCACAACUUUGAAAUGGUUUUAUUUAAACAAUGAAACAAUGUUAUUUGACUGAAAAUCUAUACUAUAUUUUGAUUAUGGGGACACAGCUGAAAUGUAUACACCAAGAAAACAUAACUCUUUUCAGUUGAAUUUCAAAUUCAUGUUGUGGAAAUCAAAUCCAUUUCAAAUUCCAUGAUUUCGGCUAGAAUGAUUAAUGCUACGCCGCUGCUGAUGCCAAAGGUUGUGACACUUUUUUAAUGAUAGUGCAAAUUGAUUGAUGAUGCAGCGCAAGUAGUACAAGUUCAUCAUGUCCACUGCCCAUCCAUGAAUUGUUUUACGAUUGUUUUUCCCGCUGCAAUACACGGGCACAUUGUAGGAGGAAUAUGUAUGCGUUGGUGGGUGCUGGAGGUUCCCUGCAACACCCGAGGAUCCGAUGGCGAGCCGUAGGUCGGGGAAGUCGUCAGCAUACAUAUAAGGAGAUGGAGGUGGAGGUGGCGGUGGAGGGAGACGGGCAUUCACUACUCGUCGGAGGGCGAGGGCACGGAGGACAACCGGCAUGACGAUUACCACGCCUUCCUCCCGUCGAAUCACUCAAGCACGACGUCCUGGUCCUCUCUAUCCAUUGGCCCCCUCCAACAUCUACCAUGAUGACCACAUCUUGUUUGUGUAGCAGAAGCGGCGGCCAUCCAUGAUCUUCUUUUGUGCCGACCUGCUAGAAACAGGUACAUGCGCCGGCCUCCAUGGCAAGGUAGUGCAGUUAGAUGUUGCAAUGGAUCCGUUCGUUCGAGAUCAUCUAAUUUGUUUUCUCAUUUUUCAUCAGGUUGGGCUAUAGACAACUAGAGAUUGGUCACCUGUCUAGCAGCUCAUUUCUGAAAACAAAGACCAGGUCUAUGUGUUCAAAAUCAUGAAGGAGGAUGUCAAAGUGUUUCUGCAGCGCAUCAGGUCUAUGUUUUCCAUUGCCCUGGACUUGCGUGUAAUAGUACAUAGAGUUUAGUCUGAUUCUAAAGAAAUAUAUGGCUAUCUGAUUUUAAAGAACAAGAGAAGAAAAUAUAGAUAUGCAUCUUCACGUGUGUGCAUUAAAUUCGUUUUGAUUCUGUUAAUUUUUUUUGUUGCAGGCGGAAGAAAAAAGCAACAUGAAGUUCCCAUCUACAUCAAACUGCUUUCACUUAUAUUCUGCCAAAUUUGUUCCAUCUAUAGGACUGUACAUGGAGAUUAUCUAUAAGGGUUAUGUCCCGUGCAAGGAGAUUAUCUUAUAGGACAGGCAUAUCAGCCCCCAUUCAGACAUAGCAGAUAUUCAACAGAAGAAGUUCCUCCACUGCUACUGGCCAAACUCUAAGCAAAAAGACCUUCCACUUUCCUUGCUAAUGGUGAGCAACUCAAAGAUGGCUACAAGGUUACACUUAAUAUUUACUCUCUGAAUAACAUAUUAUUUAUUUGACCAAUACAUGUAUAAAUGCCUUGAGAGAACAUGUAUAUAUAGCUGCAUAUAUGUUAUAUCUGAACAAUGGCAGAUUUGACCAUUAAUUACAUGUAUAUACUUGCUAGGAGAGAACGUGUAUAGCUUUCAGUUAAGCUUUUCGAUCAUUAAGCUGUUGCUUUCUCAUCUUAUUUCUAGGUAGAAACAUUAUUGGUGUUCUUUAGCUUAAUUUUGAAACAUGAACACCAUCAUGUCUUCAUCGCCGAAAGUGACGUUCUUUCCCAUUAAUCUGUGCACUCGAAAACUAUUCAAAUAUAUAUUUCCACUUGGUAGUUUUCGUAUGUCCAAUGGUUUGACGGGUGUGCAUUUUCAGGAGAGUUAGCAAAUCUUUUUCCAGUCAUCUGGUCCAUGUAGAUAACAAGUGCUAUUUGAAAUGAAAAUGCAGUUGGCUGCCAAUUUUAUCUUGCGUAUAUGACUGAAUUAUUUUGUCCUGUUAGUUUUAUGUCUAUAUAUGCAGUCUGGUGAAUAUAUGGAUAUUUUAUUAAGUGGAGAAGUUUGGUACUCUGAGUAAGCACUCGAUUCCUUGUUAGGUCCUGCUAGAUUGAUCUUUAAGGGAUCAUUUUAGUUCGUUCUUCGACCAAACACAUUACAAACGGGCAGGAAAUGAUUCUUUUCCGAUCCAUCUCGAUCUCCUUCCGAAUCAAUUCCUGAUUCUCUAUUCCUAAUGUAUGACUUGGUAGCCUCGCCUUUAUGUUUUUUUUUGUCUGUUUUUUUGUCUCACCUCUCAUUG
rnacentral:lncRNA from 1 species